GUCAAUCUUUGUAUAUGCUGCUGUUAACGUUCUGUAAUGUGUACAUAUAAUACAAACCAUUACAUUUCAUUGCAUUAAUAUGAGCAGCAUACACAGAUGUUGGACCAUCAAUAAAUGUCUCAUUCUAAAGA